AACCUGGUUGAUCCUGCCAGUAGUCAUAUGCUUGUCUCAAAGAUUAAGCCAUGCAUGUCUAAGUAUAAGCAAUUAUACCGUGAAACUGCGAAUGGCUCAUUAAAUCAGUUAUCGUUUAUUUGAUAAUACCUUACUACUUGGAUAACCGUGGUAAUUCUAGAGCUAAUACAUGCUGAAAAUCCCGACUUCGGAAGGGAUGUGUUUAUUAGAUAAAAAACCAAUGCCCUUCGGGGCUCUUUGGUGAUUCAUGAUAACUUUACGGAUCGCAUAGCCUUGCGCUGGCGACGGUUCAUUCAAAUUUCUGCCCUAUCAACUUUCGAUGGUAAGGUAUUGGCUUACCAUGGUUUCAACGGGUAACGGGGAAUUAGGGUUCGAUUCCGGAGAGGGAGCCUGAGAAACGGCUACCACAUCCAAGGAAGGCAGCAGGCGCGCAAAUUACCCAAUCCCGACACGGGGAGGUAGUGACAAUAAAUACUGAUACAGGGCUCUUUUGGGUCUUGUAAUUGGAAUGAGUACAAUUUAAACCUCUUAACGAGGAACAAUUGGAGGGCAAGUCUGGUGCCAGCAGCCGCGGUAAUUCCAGCUCCAAUAGCGUAUAUUAAAGUUGUUGCAGUUAAAAAGCUCGUAGUUGAAACUUGGGCCUGGCUGGCGGGUCCGCCUCACCGCGUGCACUCGUCCGGCCGGGCCUUCCUUCUGAAGAACCUCAUGCCCUUCACUGGGCGUGCUGGGGAAUCAGGACUUUUACUUUGAAAAAAUUAGAGUGUUCAAAGCAGGCCUUUGCUCGAAUUCGUUAGCAUGGAAUAAUAAAAUAGGGCGUGCGUUUCUAUUUUG
rnacentral:rRNA from 1 species